UUAGGGAUCAACCCUACGAUUGCGGAAUAUAAAGGAUAGUAGGAGAAAGAGGAACACGGCAAAAACAAUAGCAAACGCACAAGACACUCAAGUUUAUGUGGUUCGGAGUCUCUUGCUCCUACGUCCACAGCCGCAUAGAUCAAUAUUUCACUAUAUGAUCAAAGGAAGUUACAGAGAUUCAAGAGAAGAGAACAAACUCUCUUUCUCACAGCAAACAAUCUCUCUCAAGACGAGCAACACGUCGUCUUCCUGAUGCACACAAAGGAUCUACUUUUGGAACCUCUCGUUGAUGAGUUCUAGGGUUUCUCUAGGUUGCAACCUACCUCUCGUGUCCCUCAAGAAGUCUAUAUAUACCUCCCAAUCUCUUACUUUGAUUAGGGCUCAAAAAACCUUGGCUUGGAUCCGGUUCAU
rnacentral:lncRNA from 1 species